GGAUCUGUCAGCAUGAAGGUGGGGAUGGGUGUCCAGGGCUGUGAAUGUAGCUCCUGGGGGCGGGCCCAGCAGAUGCCAGGAUCAAGGCAGAGUCUUUAGAGGAAGAAUCACAAAGAGCCUGGGGCUGGCUGGAAUUUUCUCCCGUGCAGCCGUCCAGCGUCCCAUGGCAUCUCAGUGUGUGAAGCCCUUUGUAUACUUCCCUGGAAUGUAGCUUUUAUUUUGUAACAAAGCAAAUGUUUUACUGUUGGUUUUCGUUUAACAAAUAAAUAUUGGCUCCAACACAUGUCAGAGAAAGUCGACAACAAUAAA
rnacentral:antisense_RNA from 1 species